CUCCGGCUCCCCCAGCAGUGAGGCCGAGCGCACACGCCCCCCUCCGCUCGGCUUUCCGCGCAAUUCUCGCGCAACGCACCCCCACCCCUUUUUCUUUAUUAUUAUUUUUUUUUCUUCUGUAUGUUUGUUGUUGUUUUCUUUUUCCCCCUUUUUUAUUUUCGCUUUUCCCUCCCCCCACGCUCCCCUCGGAGGAGAAACUUUGCGAGGGGAUCCGCGUCCAGGCAAGAGCCCGCGGAGGGGGCGCGGGGCGCGGCAUCGCGAAGGAGAGAUUGGGGCGGGGAGUUCCAUAGGGGGAGAUUAAAAAAUAAAUAAAUUGGGGGAAAAAAAGAUUACCGGGGAGGGGGGUUGGGGGGUGGGUAGAAAAGGAGAUUAAUUAUUUUUUUUUAAUUAUUGGGGGAAAAAAAAAAAAAAAAAAAAACCUGAACCGAGUCCAAAAUGGCUUCUAAAAAAAAUGGGAGAAGCCAAAGCGGAGCCAACGAGGGGGAAACCCGGAUGUUUGAUACAAAGAGGGCUGGAGGGGGGCGGAGCGGCGCGGGGGCUCCGCAGCUCUGAGUGGGGCGCGGCGCUGCCCGUCAACCCCGCGGAGCGCCGCGCACCGCCCGCGGCUCCUGCGGCCGCGCUGCGCCGGGAGGUGCGGGGCUGGGGGUGCGGGGGGAGCCCCUGCGCUGUCCUUGUUAGGGCCCUCCCGGGGUUAGCGGGCUUCUCUCCAUCGCCAGCGAUGCGGGCGCUGAGCUCCGCCCGCGAUUUCUUGCAAUUAUAAGGCGAUCGUGCGGAAUUGGGGAGCCCGGAGAGGUCUUAGGGGGGUGGAAAAAGGGGGGUGGUCAGCUUGGGUGCCCUACCUAAGCUUUGGGGAUUUUGCCCUGCAGGGAGGUAAGAGGAAAUGGAAAUCGUUCUCUGCAAACUUUGGGAAGCGCUUUGCUGCGAGGAGAAAUUCUGGUGGGAUUUCUUUUUUUUUUUUUCCCACCUUUGGGAAACUUAGCUGUGUAUGUGUAACAGCCAUGGAACGCGCUCUGAGCUGUAUAAGCGGGAUCCCAAGUGGAGCUGCAAGGAGCUGAUGACCGGUAUCCUUCAUGCUGCCGUGCUUCCUCAUGCGUGUGCUGCGUGGAAGGGGGGGGGCACCCACAGAACCUUACACACACGGCAUGGGGAGGUCAUGGGGAUGGUGCAGCUGGUGCAGUUGCAGGAAAGCAUCCAAAAUAAUACAAACGUGGGGCAAACAGCACCGAAACCAAAGCCCGCAGGGAGUCAGGAGAAAGCAAGGUGUGUUGUGGCACCUGGGUAAGUUAAAGCGUGGGUGGGAGAUGAGAUGGAGAUGAUGUGUUUGUGAGAGGGCAGAGCGGGGGGGCUGAGCCCUGCUCCCUGCAUUGGCACAGUCUGCCCAUGGAGGCAGUGGGGUCACUGACCAUGGAGGACAUCAAGAGCCAUGGAGAUGUGGCACUGGGAGACAUAGUGGGCAUGGUGGGGUGGGUUGAUGGUUGGACAAGAUGGUCUUAGAGGUCUUUUGGUCCUUAAUGGUUCUACCAUUCUGUGAUUCUGUGACUGCACGGGGGUGCAGUGGGACUGGAGAUGGGUGCAAUGGGGAGAGGGGGUUUCCUGGCUGAUGCUCAGGGAAUGUCACAGCUUCAAGGGAAGACCAAACGUGAGCCAACAUCUCCUACAGGGCUGCUUGUUUUGUUGAAGGACAAGCUCUGAAACAGCUGAAGAAUGGAGGAAUGGGCGGGACAGUGAAAUAUAAACAUGCUGGCAUCCGUCAGUAUCCAUCCUUCAUGUUCAGCUCUGACCAAGAGAAGCGCAGCCCUCCAGUCGGGCUCCCCAGUCACAGAAUCACACACAGAAUCACAGAAUGGCCUGGGUUGGAAGGGACCUCAAGGAUCAUGAAUCUCCAACCCCCCUGCUGCAUGCAGGGCCACCAACCUCCCCAUUUAAUACUAGACCAGGCUGCCCAGGGUUUCAAUCACAGCACCGUCACGGAGUCCCUUUCCCAGCAUCCCAAUUUGUGCCCUAUGGCCCCCAGGGUGAGUUUUGCCCCUGUGUAAGCAAUCCCCCCCUGUUCUCCUUUAUCCCCUGUGCACCUGGGCGGCAUCCCGCCUCGCUUACAUUGUUUCACAGGGAGGUGUUUACCCGCCCGAAAAGCUAAAAUGUUUUCACCUCUUGCAACUUGAAAGCACAGGAGCUGUAUGGCGGAUGGGAAUGUUACAGCCUGGGCACGAGGGCACUCGAAAACCUCACCAACCUUCAGGAGUUUUGGAAACGGGGCUGGAGGGAGGUAGCGGUUAGGGUUAGGGUUAGGGUUAGGGUUAGGUGCCAUCAUUGCACCCCGCGGUCUGAAAGCCCUCCUGCAUUUAAAACACAUUCUGUCCGGGCUGGUUUCGUGCCGCCCGGAGUCCUGUGACGCUCAAUCUUUGCCGUGUGCCAUUUGGAACAAGUGGGCUGCGUGCAUCCCGAUACCCCGUAUGUGAUGAAGGUAUUGGGAUCGCUUAAGCCGGCACAGAGCUGCGGUGCUCGCGUGUCAUUUGUCUUCAAAUCCUAUUGUAGCGCUCGUGAGAUGUAAUUUCUGCAGUGAAUGGCAAUGUGUGCUGACAGAGGUGUUAUAAAACACGGAAAAUACGGAGGGAAGGGACCCGGCGUUUCCUUUCUCUCCCCCUUUACGCACUGAUGUGGAUUUAUUUUGCAGCAUGCAGGGCAGUGAUGCAGCCCCUCUGAUUGCUCUUCAGCCCUGUGAGGGAACCCACAUUGCCUGCAACAGGUUUUCCUUUUACACCAUGGAUGAUGGCCUUUGCUUACUGGGAGCUAAGUUGUCUGGAGGAGACCCAUCUUCAUGUGCUGGCAGCUGGUGAAGUGCAAAUGGAGAGUGACUACAAAGACCAGAGUGUGAGUUACCAGCUGAGACUUUUGGACCUGGGAUAACAAGCUGCAAACCUCUUCAACUGCCUCACGCGUCAAAAGACUCUCCAUCUGUCAUUAAUAUGCAUCAAAGAUAAGGAUGCCUGUGGGUCAGGAUGAGCAGAAAAACAGUCCUACUCUGCAACAGAGAAUUCAAGGAGCCCAGGGACCUAACCCAAAUCUGGAGGGAGAGUUUUAGAAAAGCAUUUAAGUGGCAGGUUCCAGUGCAAGUCAGAACCAUGCUUGUAAAUCAACAAGAUCCUUUAAAAAUCCCACCGUGUCACCUGCCCUCAGCAUCUAGAGUGGUUGUUUAUUUUGCAGACAUCUUCACAAUUCCAUUCUCAAGAUUAUAAUUCACUUGGUGGUACCGCAGUUCUCGCACCCUUGAAGUUAAGUAAAUGGUUAAGUGCAGUGGUGGUUCAGAGCUAGAAGACUCUCUACCUUGCAGGAUUGAGCCCUUUAAUCUAUUCUUAUUUCCUUUUCAAUUUCUGCAAGUAACCCCAAGCAAGCUGGAAACACUAAGUGCAAAGUUACGGGAGAUGACUGUGGCAAUUUCUGAAUGACAAGAGCAUUUAAAAGAAAUGUCAAGAGUCUGUGGGCUGCAAGCUUUUAUGUUUCAAGGAGAAACAAAAAGAAAGGAGGGACAAUAAAUCAAACACAACAGCUUAGCGUGCUCCAUCUCUCAGAGUUAACCUCUUGAAAGCCAUGUCCCCAGCACAGAGUGGGCCACACUCUUUGAUAGGGUCCAUUAUUCUCUGUAGAGCAAUAGAGGUGGCAUGGUGGGCUCCUCCGUGCGUGCCCAGGGGCUGUGUACACUGCGCCUUGCUUAACAUGUGCUCUGCAUUUAUGGGUUAACAUCAAACAUGAGCUGAUUUAUAAUUCUUAAUCAAAAAAGGAUUAUAACCUAAUAAAUCCUACUAACAUAUUCUGUCUGGAGGUUAUGUGGUGUAGUUGUAUAAUAUACUGGUAGCCUCAUUCUCCUAAGACUGGAAGACUGGACAAAGUUUUAUACUUGUCAAACAACUGUUCCCUUUGCUUAAAUGGAUCAAGACCCUUUAAGCACCGUGAUGCAAAUGGUCAUCCCUCUGAAUGGAGUCUUUCGUGCUAUAACAAGUUUUGAAGUACCUAGAAGCAUACCAGGAAACUUGCUGCACCUCUGUGCACUGGAUGUCUCAUCUCACUUCAAAGGCUCACUAGUGCUGGUUAAGGCUUAACUGUUGGCCAUUAGCUGAAUCUAAGCAUGAAACAUGUCAAACACAUCACCGAUGGUAGUCAGAGCCCUAAUGAGACCUCAAGAACUAACUAAUAGAGGCUAAGUGACAGUUUGUACAGAGCCUUUGUUUUCCAAGUUAAAAAAACGUUGGCACAAAAGACAAGUUAACCCUCUGUUUUGGAUUUUCUGAAUUUUGGAUCUCCCACCUAGACAGGCAGGUAUUAUUGCAGGGAACCUGUAGGUAAUCCAGACCUGCCAAUUAUCUGAGGAGGUUUCUGAGCCUUCUGUUCCCAAAGAAUGAUCAUCUUCUCUCCAAUCCAUACUCUGCCUCCCAGCAGAAGUCUGUUCUGGAAGAUCGUUUUACUUCCCGGAAGACCUAAUUAACACUAAAGACUAAUGGAGGCUAUAGUGUAGAGAUUUUUUUUUUUUUUUUUAAUUUUGACUUUAGUGCCAUUUUAGAAGCUUCUCCUCCCUGCUCUUUAUUUGCACACAAUAACUAAAACACCACAGUGGGGAAGAUGUGGCCAAGGAGACUCAUGGUAAUUUCAAACUAGAAAUAAGCAUUAUGCUGUUGCCUUGUGCUUCUCUUCUGUGUUUGCACCCACAGGUGGUUUCAGCCUCAUCUUAUAGAUACCUUAUAGCUGAGGAUGGUGUCUUUGUACACAAUACAUGUUCUUGGCAUUAUGAAGCUCAGUGGCUCUUCAAUGAGCAAGAUCUCAACAGAAAUUCCUCAUCUUGUUCCAUCUUCCACUGGAAAAGAGUGUCAGUGGGGCAACCCAAGGCAUAAUAACCUCAAAAGAAGGAUAGAGUUAUUCCUUGGUAUGCCUUUAAUGAAAGGUUUUCAAACCAAUCAGACAAAUUGUUCAGGAUCAACAAAGCCCAUGUCAGUAGGAUUGCUCUCACUCACGUGGGGAGAGCAUGGAAAGAAAACUUGUUAGAAUUGAUCUCAGGUUGGAUAUUAGAAAGAGUAGUGGUAAUGCAUUGGCACAGGCUGCCUGGGGAUGUGGUGGAGUCACCAUCCCUGCAGGUGUUCCAGAACCGUGGAGAUGUGGCACUGAGGGACAUGGUCAGUGGGCAUGGUGGGGAUGGGUCGAUGGUUGGACUAAAUGAUCUUAGUGAUCUUUUCCAGACUUAAUGACUCCGUGAUUCUGUGAUCCACAGAAUUGUAAUGAUUGCAAUGAAUAGGUUUGGAAUGUUUCUCAGAACAGCUACAACCUUGAAGACACAGACCUGGAGAAGGCAACUCUUUGGGCCCUUUUCCAUUAGCCUACAGCUAAAACCUAUAGUUUCUUCAGAGCUCAGCUAAAACAAGCCUAGGCUGACUUCAUUAGUUGCAAUCUCUUAUAAUUCUCUUAAUCAGUAGGCCUUGGACACAGAGAUUCAUACCCUUUUGCCUUAAUCCAUCUCUUUUUGAAAUACUAAAGUACCACUUCUUCCACAAGUAUUUGUGGAAGGAGGGCACACAAAGUGUCUUCUUUCACUUUCAGGCUCAGAGGAAAGUGUUGGCUGUAGGUGUUAUUGUACUAACAUUGAUUGUACUGCUAUAAUAAAUGCAUCUGUCCAACACUUCAGAAAUAUUUGGGGAAGUAAUAGCUGUGCUUUUUCAGUCUCGUUGAAAUUCAAGAUGAAAAGAUUGACUUCCUAUCUAGGUCCAUAUAACCUGUUUCCUUCUUUGCACAGUUCAAAAACGUCUCCUGCUCUCCAUUUCUCAACCUGUCAGAGCACUGGGGUUCUAGCAGAAGAGCAGUAAGUGAGCUGAUGGGUUGAUGGGUGGACUAGAGGAUCUUAGUGGUCUUUUCCAACCUUAAUGAUUCUAUGAUUCUAAAUGCAGCCAGCAUGCCACUCCUAGCAGCCCAGUGAGGCAACUGGGCUGCUCACAGAGUAAGAUGUUAGAGCUGAAUGCAUUUCCUGGGAGAGAGGAAGGACCAUGCAAGCAAACAAGAGCUCAGCCAACUUCUCAAAGCAGGAGGUUUUCUGCAACCAGUGUGAGAUUUAUCCAAAGUCCCAACCAAAAAAAAAAAAAAAAAAAAGUGCAGAUUUCCAGGGACAGGACUCACUGGACUUGGCAGAACCCAUCCAAAUUCCUCCAUUUACUCAACUGCUGUAAAUGAAAAGGAAAAAUAAUAAUAUUUUUGCAAGCAAAAUCCAGCAACACAGCAAAGAAAUGAGAAGCAGAGAAAUGAGCCUGAUUCAGACAAAAUGUUACAGAUACAGAUCAGCCUUGCUCACCACAGCCGUUCCCCACCACCAGAAACUUUCUGGUUUGAAUAAAUAAGGGUUUGGAGUGUGGGUAGUUCUCAGAUCCAAGACAGCUUUUAAAUCUGCCUACCUCUUAGCAAAACUCAGCUCUAAUCCUAGUGUAAGCAAAUGGAUGUUAGUAAAACAAAAGCAUUAAACAGCUUCCCGAUCUCCUUCUCCCGCUCUUCCUGCUCUCCUUCUUUCCCCUCCAGCCAUUCUUUGCCAUAUCUGCAGCAUCAGGCUGUAUUCUUAAUAGGCAGCUUGAUAAGUCUAUCCAUUGUGACCACAAUCUUUGCCAAAACUGGAGGCUUUAAAGCCUAAAAUGGUGCGCUGCCACUUUUGGGAUUAAAGACACUAAAGGCUGUCUGGAUGAAGCAUCAAUAGAUUGUUUCUCUGAGGAUGAGAUAGCGAGGGAGUAAAGAAACACACACCUAUGGCUCCUACCAUUCAUCUUCCUGAUACAGGCUCUGGAGGCAUGGCACAGAUUUUGGGGAGCUAGGAUUCUGGGCUCACAGUGCUUGCUGUGACCCUGCUCGCUGGGGCUCAGUGAGAUGGAUACGGGCAGAAGUAUCAUCGAGAUUUAAUGUGGCAGUUUUAGACUCAUAAUCAAAGUUGGCAUCUCUGUUGCCGAUCUUAAGGAGCGUAUCUGGUUUUACAGAGGCACAGCUCCCAUCAUGAACUUCUUUAAUUGCACAUAAGCCCUGAUUUUUGCAGCUCCACUUUUAUAAAAGCCUUUUUAGCUCUUAUUGCCUGGAGCCAUCUGAGGCUACAGAAUUGUCCCCAGUUUUUUGAAGACCUGAUUUUUCAGUGGUGUUUUUGUGUCCUGAGACUUUUUGCAAAAAAAAAAAUGAGAGCUAAAGGCGCUAAUAAAGAAGUGGCAAUAAUUAGAAAACGUCUUGCACAGUACAGAUUUUAUAACUCCACAGAUACCGUGGUAUUAACAUUCUGUUUGUCCACCUGUUAGAAGAAAGAGAUCUGAAGAGUCAUAACUCUAAAACAGUGGGUGACAAUUUAAUGAAAAAUUGAGCUCUGCGUUUAAUUUCCUUUUAAGUUCAGUUGAGCAUUCUACAAGAUCAAAGGGGCUUUGUGGUUUGCAAAUGAUCUACGAUAUCAGAGAAACAGAUUAUAACCCGGCACAGUUUGGUAUUUAAGUAAGUAUCCGCUUUUAAUACCAAUGUUUAAAGUAGGCUAAUGGAACUAAAGCGCGAGUAUAAUUUCCUAUGAUACAAGUCUAUAAUCCAGUUUAAUAUAUCAACCGAACGCUAAAAGCAUAUUGUGAAUUUAAUUCUGUGACUUGGCCCUGUUUGCAAAGUAUCCUGAGACAUCAUAAAAUGCAUCUAGCACAAAAAGAGGCCCUGCCUUAGUUUGUAACUUUUGGGGUAGGGACUGGGCUCUAUGUGGGUUUGGAACGUUAGAAAUAGUUAAGCAAAAGUAGUGCUGCACAUCAGGGAGGAAUUUUUUGUUUUGUUUUAGCCUAGCUGCUGGAUAUUUGCCUAGAAGACAUCCUACAGCUGGCUUUUCCCCUUUCAUGUCCACGCAAUGCUACCGUGGGCAGUAGAACUACAGAAACAAAUAAACAGAAUAAUAGAAUGGCUUAAGUCAGAAGGAAACGUAAAGAUCAUUGAGUACUAAUCCCUGCUGUGGGCAGGACUGCCAACCACUAAAUCAGGCUGCCCAGGCCUCCGACCAACCUGGAAUGGGGUUACACCAGGUUAAAAGGUACCUCUGCUUUUUUUUUAAUAUAUUUUAUUUUUUAAACAAGUUCCUGCAGUGUCAGGUUCCAUA